rnacentral:lncRNA from 1 species
CAGGAACCAGAGUCUCGUGCCAGUGCUCUCUGUUGCCAAAUUUUCUACAGCUGUCACCUUUCUGAACAUUGGUGGUUACUUAAGACUCAGUUUAUUUCAGCUGCCUGGCCCUCCCGCAGCCUGGAUUAGCCCAUACCACCAAUUUCCCGUCUCCAGACACCAAAUUUUAUUGGCACGGCUCAGUGGUUCUCAAACAUCAUUGUACACACCAAAGCUUGGAUUUCACUUUAUGACUAAUUAGCUAAGAAUGUCUGAGAGAGGGACCCACGUUUCUGUAAUUUUAAAAACUCUCCAGUUGAUUCUGAAAUUCAGCCAGGGAUAAGAAGCCUGAGAAUAGAAUGAGGUAAGUGAUGGCACAAAGUGUAGGGAGCUCCAAAAAACUCAGCUAUCAAGAUAACAUUUUACUAUUAAAAUACCUUUAAAAAUCAAAAUCACUGGAAAAUAAUCCAUAAUAAGCAAAACAUCAAAAAUGUAAGUAAGGGAUUAGCACUUGGAGUCUGAGGCAAAAGGCAAAAAUCAUAAUACUGAUCUUGCCUUUUAAAAAAAGAAAUGUUCUCCCAUUUUUGUGCAGUUGUUUGCACAUAGGGAACAUUUAUAUUAUCUGAGUUUACAAAUAGAAAACCUACCUUAUGAAAUCAUGCUUUGAAAAUAUAAUUUUGCAAAGAGCAUGAAAUUGAUUGAAAGUUUAUUGAGAAGAUGAAAGUUGAUUGAUAGUACCGUACUGAAUAGGCAAGUCUGGGGUGGUAAACUCAGAAAUGUAGCCUCUCCAGAGUUGAAAGAACAAGUUUAGGGGUAGAAGGAAGCGGGACCAAGGACAGUCUGAGUCAGUGCACAAGGGAGAGCGCCUUUAUUAGAAAACCUGCCUGGUGGUCAUCAGAUGGUUGUCUCAUCACCAGCUCAAAUGCCUCAUGGCCAAAGCUGAAUCAUAAAAUCACUCCCCUGUCUCCCCAAAUCCCUGGCCAUUUUACACAGCUGACUCUUGUAAUAUUCUAUUACUUCUAGUCAGAAUGUCUUCAUUUUCCCCACCUUUCAAAGGAAAGCUGUGCUUUUCUUCAAGGCUGUUCCUGAGAACAGAAGUUCUCAGAGGUUACGUUGCCUUAGAAGCCCUCUCUGUGCCUCAGCUGACUGCCCUGACCACCCACAAAUGCCUUCCUUUCAUAGUCCAAACCCUGUGAUUGCACAUUUUUAGUGCAUAU